rnacentral:lncRNA from 1 species
CCGCACACCCCACUAUUCUUUCCAUCUUCUUUUUUUUUUUCUUUCUCUAAAAUAGAUCUCCGCUAACAGUCUUUAUCGAUGAAUUUUCAAUCGGCUCCGACUCUCCAUAACAUCGUCGGUGAGUCCUUCACCAUCUUUGACCGCCCGCCAGCUAGAGCAACAACGUCACCAUCAGCCGCCCAAUUGCCUCCCCCUCUUCUUUACCCACCUCUCUUUUUUUGCCGCUCACAGCCACACCAACAACCCCAUUGUUGCCAUCGGUGAACAGCAACAGCUGCACCAACAACCCCAUGACGGUGCUAUGAAUGUCGCAUGACCCAUAACCGGCCAGACCGAUCACCAGCGUUGCCUCUCUCUUUCUCAAACAGCCAUCGUCGCUCUCUCCGUCAUCGUCAACUCCUCCAGUCGGCGAACACCAACCAAUAAUCGACGCCUUCAGCCGCUAGACAGCCACAGUCGCUGCCUCUGAUGCAACCACCAGUCGCGAUUCAGCCUCCCCCUCCUCUCACCUGUAACGUUCUCGGCGGAAUUUAUGAAUAACGAAGUUUUUGAUGAACCCGAUUGUUUUCCGGUUUGAUUUCUCAAUACCUUAAAUUGCAUGUUUGUUUGCUUUGGUUGCAAAUCACCUAAAUCGGUCUCUUAGCUUUAAAAUUCGUGAUAUUUGAUUCUAAAUUUUUAUUCAGUUCGUUUAAUUAUGUGUUUAUGUUCGUCUCUAGAUUGAUAUACACGAAAAGCCCUAAAUUCUAUGGACUUUGAUUAUUCUCAAAUUUUCUAGUAGCUAAUCUUUCAUUAAUUUUUAUGAUUCCGAACCACUUUGAUUAUGGGUCGUUGACAAAUUUUGAUGCGUAAUUGUUGAUAUUGUACUAUUUUGAUUUCUAAUCAUGAUGAUAAAAAUGAGACUGAUUCAAUUAUGAAAUACUCUAAUUUGAUUAAUCUUUUUAUAAUCUUUAGUGAUUAAAAUAGCCUUAACAGAUCCUUUGUUUACCUCUACGAUUCUUACUCUCUUAUUUAUGAUAAUUUUUUAUGAUUCCUACUCUUCUAUUUAUGGUAAUUUUUUGAUAUGUUUGUUUUAAUUGUAAUUGAUUAAUGGUAUUGAUUUGCCUCUAUGAUUCUUACUCUCAUAUUUAUGAUAAUUUUAUUAUUUGUUUGAUUAAUUGUGAUUGAUUAAUGGUAUCGAUUUAAGAAAAGUAUCCUAUUUGGUUCAAUAACGGAUUUUCUUGCCUUCUUUUUGAACGGACGGUUAUGUCAUUAAUUUAUUAUAGCAAAAUUCUUUUCUUUUAAUUUGAUUUAAUUAGGCUAGUUAAGGCAAUGAUUAUUUUUUAACCUUUAAUAAUCAUUCUCUAUUCAAUAUAAAAAAGGGCAAUUCCUUUUAUUUUUUUUGAGAAUACAGAAUACUGACUUCUACACUCUUCUAACUUAAAGUGUUAAAGUUUUACUUGUUGCUUCUACUUUGAGACUGUCGGUUCUUGGUUGCUUUUACCUACUUUUGAAAGUUCGAUUUCUUUCGUUAUUGUGUUGUUAAUCGAUUAGUUUUCUCUAAUAAUGUAUUAAUUUCUUUAUAUAUUCUAUGUGACUAUGAUUUUAUUUUGAUUUGCGUGGGCUUGAUGUCAUAAGUCUUCUAUCCAUCUUUGUGUAUGUUUCGUGACUUAUUGCGUGUUCAUGCUAUUCUCUUUUGUCAAUGUGACAUGUUUUCUUUCUCUAUGAAAUGUUCUUUCCCACUAGAGUAUUGUUAUGUGUGAAUCUGAAAUAACUUUUGCGCUUUAGAACCCCUUCAGCAUGAGUCUACCUGGGAUCCUUGAGAUCCUUAGGAUCUCAACAUCAAUGAGGGUUGUUUAUGGGCUACCAAAAGCAUGUUUUGGAUUUUUGGAAUUAAUUUUGGUAUCUUUGCCAGGUUGGACGAGAAAGCAGGUGAUUCGGGAAACUUGUAGAGUUGUCGGGGGGUUUGUUUAAGGAUUGUCCCACUUAGUGCUUGUUUUUUAUUCAUUCUUGGUCUCUCUGUGUAAUAAUAAAAUUGUGUGACUGCAUAUGGGGGGCGAAGACUAUGUGAUUUAAAUAUUUUAUGUUCUCACUUAAGCAAGUAUGUAGUCUAAGAUUAAUAAUAAACUUAAUUAAUCGCCUAGAAGUUAUGUUUUAGGGUUUCUAAUUAAUUUUCAAUAUAAAAAGUUAUUUUUAAGCAUGUUUGUUUGAUGUCUAGCAUGUUUGGUUAGUUGUCACUCAUUUUUAAUCCUUUUUGCACAUUUAAUAAAUGUUUUUGCACAUUCAAAAUUAUUAUUCGGACACUCAAUAAAUUUCUACACUUUCAAAAUAAAUUUUUGCAUUUUUAAAUAUUUCUCUGCAUUUUCAAAAUAAUUUUCUGCAUUGUUUAUUUAGUUUCCUGCACUAUUUAAAUAUUUUUUUGCACUUUAAAAUAUUUUACUACACAAUUUAAAAUAAUUAUCUGCAUUGUGUAUUUAAUUUUCUACACUGCUUCAAAUAAUUUCUGCACUAUGUUAAAUAACUUCAGCACAACUUAAAAAAAUUCUGCACAGUUCAAACUUCAAACUCAUUUUUCUGAUUAAUUCACUAUACAGUUUUAUUAAUUUUCCUGCGCAACUUAUUCAUUUUUCUGAAUAUUUUAGUAAGUUUUUUUGCACUGCUUUAACUGUUAGCUUGUUUAAAUUUUUAAAUGUUAAUAAUUAUUUAUCACUUAGUAGCAUGUGUAUAAGUCUAAUUUUGUAAAAAUAAAUAAAUAUUUGUUUUGGCAUGUUAAUUACUUAACUAACCUUUAACUAAUCAAGAGGCUUGUUUGAAAUCAUUGUGUGCUACGUGCUAGUCCAACGUGCUUUGCUUUACGCACUUUGAGUCUAAUUAGGUAAACUUAAUUUUGUUUGUCUAGACCCUAAAUUCAAAUUAGAAAGGUCCAAUGCCUCUUGGACAUUAAGUUGGGACGGACAGAAAUUUUAGAAAACGCUAGUUUUAUCCGUUCUUUUAGAGCGUCACUAAGCUUAACAACCAGCCUAGGUGGAGGUGGGUAGACAUUCGGAGAUGAUGGUAACCCAACAUGUUUUGAUAAUGAAAAAUAAAAUGGUCACCCGAUAAUAACUCGACUUGUAAUACCCCAUACUUUUUUUAGCUCAGUUCAGCUCUUAGUUGUAUGUAUAAGAGGUUUAAAGCCUUAAAAAUUUCUCACUAAGUGUUAGGACUUAGUCAUUUUCAAAGCCCCAUAAAUUUUGAUAAUUUUAUUUUCGAUCUUUCCAACCUCGGAACAUUAAUUUGUAAGUUGAUUCAUGAUCGGGGUUAUCAAUAGUACAUCUCAGGUGUGUUUUGAAAUUUUUGGACGAGUGUAG